CCUACGGGUGGCAGCAGUGGGGAAUAUUGGGCAAUGGGCGCAAGCCUGACCCAGCAACGCCGCGUGAAGGAAGAAGGCUUUCUGGUUGUAAACUUCUUUUCUCAGGGACGAAGAAAGUGACGGUACCUGAGUAAUAAGCCACGGCUAACUACGUGCCAGCAGCCGCGGUAAUACGGAGGUGGCAAGCGUUAUCCGGAUUUAUUGGGUGUAAAGGGCGUGUAGGCGGGAGCGGAAGUCAGAUGUGAAAACUCAGGGCUCAACCCUGAGCCUGCAUUUGAAACUGUGUUUCUUGAGUGCUGGAGAGGCAAUCGGAAUUCCGGGUGUAGCGGUGAAAUGCGUAGAUAUACGGAGGAACACCAGUGGCGAAGGCGGAUUGCUGGACAGUAACUGACGCUGAGGCGCGAAAGCGUGGGGAGCAAACAGGAUUAGAUACCCCUGUAGUC
rnacentral:rRNA from 1 species